rnacentral:rRNA from 1 species
CGGCGAGUGAAGCGGCAACAGCUCAAAUUUGAAAUCUGGCUUCGGCCCGAGUUGUAAUUUGCAGAGGAUGCUUCUGGCGCGGUGCCUUCCGAGUUCCCUGGAACGGGACGCCACAGAGGGUGAGAGCCCCGUAUGGUCGGACACCAAGCCUGUGUGAAGCUCCUUCGACGAGUCGAGUAGUUUGGGAAUGCUGCUCUAAAUGGGAGGUAAAUCUCUUCUAAAGCUAAAUACCGGCCAGAGACCGAUAGCGCACAAGUAGAGUGAUCGAAAGAUGAAAAGCACCUUGAAAAGGGGGUUAAAUAGUACGUGAAAUUGUUGAAAGGGAAGCACUUAUGACCAGACUUGGGCCGGGCGGCUCAUCAGGGGUUCUCCCCUGUGCACUCCGCCCGGCACAGGCCAGCAUCGGUUCUCGUGGGGGGAUAAGACCGUCAGGAACGUAGCACCCUCCGGGGUGUGUUAUAGCCUGGCGGACGAUACCCCCGUGGGGACCGAGGUCCGCGCUCCGCAAGGAUGCUGGCGUAAUGGUCAUCAGUGACCCGUCUUGAAACACC